rnacentral:rRNA from 1 species
GCCAGCGCCGAUAGCACGUUGACUACACCAGUGUCCCAGUGGGAUCACUGAAGUUAAGCAACGUUGCGCGAGGAUGGUAUUCCCUCUUAUCUGUCUAUGCUGUGUUUCGCUGACC